GCGCGGGUGGUGGAAUGGUAGACACGCAUGUUCGAGGGGCAUGUGGCUGCAAGGCCAUGGAGGUUCAAGUCCUCUCCCGCGCACCA
rnacentral:tRNA from 1 species